UACGAAGGGGGCUAGCGUUGUUCGGAAUUACUGGGCGUAAAGCGUACGUAGGCGGAUUGUUAAGUGAGGGGUGAAAUCCCGAGGCUCAACCUCGGAACUGCCUUUCAUACUGGCAAUCUUGAGUCCGGGAGAGGUGAGUGGAACUCCUAGUGUAGAGGUGAAAUUCGUAGAUAUUAGGAAGAACACCAGUGGCGAAGGCGGCUCACUGGCCCGGAACUGACGCUGAGGUACGAAAGCAUGGGGAGCAAACAGG
rnacentral:rRNA from 1 species